CAACCCUCAGGCCUCGCCUGGCGUUGGGGACCUGCGCCUGCAGCCCCCGAAAGACAGCGGCGGUCUCGUACCGGCUCUGAGCGUAGUAGCAUACGUCGCUCUUGGGUCGGGGCGGGCUCCGGCCGUAAAACCCCCAUCUUACAAA
rnacentral:misc_RNA from 1 species